ACACUAUUAACAGCAAUUAUGCAAUCAAACUUAUAGCAAAAUGUGGUAGUUCUGUAUGUUGUCUCUGGGUUAGCAUCAUCUGAGGUCCUCUGAGGGGUUGGCAUCAUCUCUUCUCAGGUGUUCUGGAUCCAGACUGGAGCUUGUGUAAAUCCUAGUUACCACGGGAUGUAAAUCCCGUGGCAAAGCAGAGAAACAAAUAGAGACAUAAUUAGCGUAGCUGCUGUUCCAGCCAAGUAAAAUUAAUUAGUUUAACCCAAGCUAAAGAAUAAUAAUGCACAUUUGAUCAGAUAUAACUGCAGUCCAAAAUUAUGAGAUGCAUUAUUUGAAUGCUUGGCCAAAGAGGUGUGUUUUUAAUCUAGAUUUAAACAGAGAGAGUGUGUCUGAGCCCCGAACAUUAUCAGGAAGGCUAUUCCAGAGUUUGGGAGCCAAAUGCGAAAAAGCUCUACCUCCUUUAGUGGACUUUGCUAUCCUAGGUACUAUCAAAAGUCCAGCGUUUUGUGACCUUAGGGAUCGUGAUGGGUUGUAGCGUGGUAGAAGACUAGUUAGGUACGCAGGAGCUAAGCCAUUAAGGGCCUUAUAAGUAAGUAAUAAUAUUUUGUAACUGAUACGGAACUUAAUAGGUAGCCAGUGCAGAGACUGUAGUAUUGGGGUAAUAUGAUCAUAUUUUCUUGAUAUGUUUGUUCUCUUUCUAGCUGUCGAAGAUCCUGAACCACCAAGCCCAAAGGAGAUCUUACAAAGUAAGAGAAACACAUAUAUUAUUCACAGAUAUCUGAAAUCUAUAUGUAUAUUGAGUAUAUUUACACUAUUUUGUAUAUAAUUGCAGAGUCUGGCUGUUUGAACAAGGUGGAACCAUCUGUAUCUCCAAAAGGAGAUGAGGUACAGCAUUGCCCUCGUCAGAUUCACUUGGGUGAAGGCGUUCGAGUGCGUAGAGAGGCCUGGUCAAGGAUACAAAACAACAUGCGGGAUUCCUUAUUUGUGAAGGAGUUGGCAGUGGCAAUCUGGGGAACUAAGGCUCUGUGGGAAAGAAGUCUCACAGGGAAGGAAUGCGCAACGACCAAAACAACCAAGCAGCGUUUAACCCCCCAGAAACUUCAGACAUUAAAAGUCUGCUUUAAGGAGUGGCUUGUCAAAAAGAAUGUGGAGGAGACAGAGUUGCAGGCCAAAUGGGGAAAGGCUGGACAGUACAUCACUGAAAAAAUUCAUUAACAUUAACAAACAAACAAAAAGUGCUCAAAAGAAAAUUUGAGCACUUAAGAUAAAUUGAUAAUUGAAAAGAUAAUUGUUGUGUAUGUGUUUUAUUGUAAUUUGCUUGUUGAGCCAGAUGAGAGUUUUUUUUUUGUUUGUUUUUUUGUUAAAUAUGUAUUAUUAUUGUGUUAAUGUUUACUUAUUUUAUUAAAUUAUUGUUAUUAUUAAAUUAACUUUUUUUAAUUAUUAAAUGAAAGCUUGUAUUUUCAUGAUUUUCAUCAUACCAAAAUUCAGUGUAGUUAGCAUUCCACCCUAGUGAACAGGCUACCAUCCUCAACAUCUAUGUUGACAGCACAGUUUCCAAUGUUAGUAACCAGCAUCCCAUGCUUGUCA
ensembl:lncRNA